ACGGGAGGCAGCAGUGAGGAAUAUUGGUCAAUGGACGAGAGUCUGAACCAGCCAAGUAGCGUGCAGGAUGACGGCCCUAUGGGUUGUAAACUGCUUUUAUAGGGGGAUAAAGUGUGCCACGUGUGGCAUAUUGCAGGUACCCUAUGAAUAAGGACCGGCUAAUUCCGUGCCAGCAGCCGCGGUAAUACGGAAGGUCCAGGCGUUAUCCGGAUUUAUUGGGUUUAAAGGGAGCGUAGGCCGUUUGGUAAGCGUGUUGUGAAAUGUCGGGGCUCAACCUGGGCAUUGCAGCGCGAACUGCCAGACUUGAGUGCGCAGGAAGUAGGCGGAAUUCGUCGUGUAGCGGUGAAAUGCUUAGAUAUGACGAAGAACUCCGAUUGCGAAGGCAGCCUGCUGUAGCGCAACUGACGCUGAAGCUCGAAAGCGUGGGUAUCGAACAGGAUUAGAUACCCUGGUAGUCCACGCGGUAAACGAUGGAUGCUCGCUGUUUGCGUCUGACGUAAGCGGCCAAGCGAAA
rnacentral:rRNA from 1 species